AAUAGAUUUAAUACAUAAAUAUGCUAACUGUUUUAUAAAUUUUGAUUUUUCGUUACAAUUUGAUCUUUAUCAACAUACUUAUGUGUCAAUUGACCUUCAGUAAUAUAUCAAAAAUUAUGAUGUAUGUAAAUAAAAUGAUAAAAUUACUUUCAAAUAACUUGUGAACUUUAUCUAAUAAAGUCGGUAAGAAAUUAUACAAUAUAAUAGUAUAACCAUCAUAGUUUUUGCAUUAAGAAUUUUUGCUAUAUAAUACAAAGCAUUAAGUUGUCAGAAAAAAUGGAUAUAAAUGGAAUGCGGGUCAAGUGUCGAAUACAUGUGAGUCAUUUCUAAUGUUGGAAUUAAGAAUUUAUUUUAUUAUCCAGUAAUUUUAUCAUAAUUAUUGAGUCAAAUGGAUCUGGAUUUAGGCAUAUAUAUAUACAUAAUAUUGUUCUUCCAAUUAUAUACUAUUGGUAUCAAAUUUAUAAGACAUAUAUAUUUAUCCUUUCACAACGUGCAACAAAAGCAAUUUGGUUUUUCGAAGAUAAACUGUUGCGAUUCUAUUAUGUAGCGCCCGAACCGAGGGGAAAAAAAAAAAAAAAAGCCACGUCAGCAGGCCCGGUCAGCAGUCCCGGCCAACCGGGGCCUGCCACGUGACAAGACCACGUCGCUCCUGAACGGGCCACGUUGGCGAUCCGCGUGGGCGCGAUCGGACGGCCCAGAUCAAUCGCGCGAUCGGACAGCCCAGAUCAAUCGCGCGAUCGGACGGCCCAGAUACAAUCGCACGGACGGCCCAGAUUUAAUCAAAAAUGGACAGCCCAGAUUAAAACAAAAUGGACGGCUGAGAUCAAAGGGCAAGGGGUUAUAAAUAGAACCCCCACACCAGACCCCAAACCCUAGCCGCCUGCCGCUCGUCGGAGAAGACGAACCAGAGGCCGACCGCCGCCACCCG
rnacentral:lncRNA from 1 species